rnacentral:rRNA from 1 species
AUGGCCAUAUGCAAUAUUGGUGAUGGGAAGUCUGCUCUAUUAUGGACUCAUAAAUGGCACUCUACAUGUCUAUUUCAAUUCCUGCCUCAUUUAUUCUCUUUUACAAAGAAUACUCUAUUAUCAGUUCAGGAAGCUACCAACUUGGAAUAUUUGGAAGACCUAUUUCCCCUUCCCCUGUCUACACAAGCUUAUGAGGAAUUCCAGCAACUUUACAUCAUCUGUGAGAUGGUUAGAUCAUCUGAAUACAGGGAUUAUAAUGACACCUGGAGCUAUUUAUGGGGGUCUGCUAAUUUCUCUUCUUCAAAAGCAUAUACCUGCAUGAUUGGAGUUAAAACUGUACCACCUCACUUCCGGUGGGUUUAG